UACGAAGGGGGCUAGCGUUGCUCGGAAUUACUGGGCGUAAAGCGCACGUAGGCGGCUUCUUAAGUCGGUGGUGAAAUCCUGGAGCUCAACUCCAGAACUGCCUUCGAUACUGAGAAGCUCGAGUCCGGGAGAGGUGAGUGGAACUGCGAGUGUAGAGGUGAAAUUCGUAGAUAUUCGCAAGAACACCAGUGGCGAAGGCGGCUCACUGGCCCGGUACUGACGCUGAGGUGCGAAAGCGUGGGGAGCAAACAGG
rnacentral:rRNA from 1 species